UACGGAGGGGGCAAGCGUUGUUCGGAGUUACUGGGCGUAAAGCGUGCGCAGGCGGCUUUGUAAGUCCGAGGUGGAAUUCCACAGCUUAACUGUGGAACUGCCUCGGAAACUGCAAGGCUUGAGUCAGGUAGAGGGAGGCGGAAUUCCCGGUGUAGCGGUGAAAUGCGUAGAUAUCGGGAGGAAUACCAGUGGCGAAGGCGCCCUUCUGGACGGUUACUGACGCUGAGACGCGAAAGCGUGGGGAGCAAACAGG
rnacentral:rRNA from 1 species